rnacentral:lncRNA from 1 species
GUCCAGUCAGGCGCCGUGGCCAUCUAAUACCGCGACCGGACCCCUGUUGCAUGCGUGCAGCACUUCCUCCCAGACAGAGCGCACCGGGAGAAGCUGCUGACCUAGCACUCCAUCCACAGCCAGCAAGACCGAAGAAAGUCACCCUCACCCUCAUGAAGAAAAAAGGUAAGUGAACAGCACAUUUAAACACGUGUGUAUACUGGUGUCACUGUGUGUAUCUGCCAAUGUGUGUGAAUCUGUGUAGCAGUGUAGCUGUUAGUGUGUGUAUGAGUGUUCCACUAUGUGCCAGUGUAUGUAUCUGUGUCAGACACUGAUACACAGAUACACAGGCACAUACAAACACAGAUACACACACACACACAGAUACACCACUGUUUCAAGGAGUGUGUAUUUGUGUGUCAGUGUGUGUGCUAGUGUGUAUCUGUGCAUGUCUGUGCUGGUGUGUGUAUGUGUCAAGGUGUGGGUCUGGGUCAGUGUUUGUGUGUAUAUGACUGUGUAUUUGUCGGUGUGUUUGUUAAUGUGUAAGUAUGUAUGUAUGUGGCAGUACAUUUACAGAUCUCCCAGCAAUCAAACAUCAACACAACACACACUCCUGCAAACACAAACAUGACAUGAAAAGACACCCCUGAACUCUAAAUCCAAAAUUAUAUACAAACACUCAAACACCAAUACUACACACAAAUGUACAUCCACAUUUAAAAUUCAACACUACAGCCAAAUACACCUCUGCACGCAAAUGCUAACAUUCCAUACAAGCACAUUCCUGUAUUAAAACGAUAAAAUUACAUAAAAUGGGGCGGAGUCUGAACGCCAACCAGAGAGGUCGCAUGCCACGUGAGUUCCCGCACCAACAGACGAUUUUCGGGAUAAUACCCCGUUUCCAGCCAAAACCCGAGCACUCACACUUGUCCACCGACUCGGGGACAAGUUGCAGACCACAUAGACACAAAACUCAGGCACCCGAGAUGCAUGGGGCCCGCGGAGGCAAACUGAGGCCUACAAGCCACUGGGCAGCCAUCUUCCCCACUCUCCUGUAGAACAAUAAGCACUACCGCAGCCUCCCCCCCCACCCCUUUGGACCAGUGGGGGUUAUCCCGGUCCCCAAUAGACGAGCCAAACCAGACCUGGUGAAGCUGCAACCUAAAUCUAGCAACCCAAGACCUCCCGCCAUAACACGAGGCACCUCGCAACAUCACUCACCCCAGGCAGAGAGCAACCUCGCAACAUCACUCACCCCAGGCAGCCCAGCGGUCCAGGCCGACCCCACAGAGGCGUAACGGCUUCACACCCAGGCGCCGAAGGAGACCACGAACCGGGCGGUCGACCACAGGGGGUAAGUCGGCUCACAGAGCCCCCCGACCCAAAAGAGGACGCAAACUGACACUCCGAGAGGCGCAUAGCCCAAACCCUUGUGCCACACAGAGUCCCCCGGAGCUACCAGAGGCUCACCUUCAUCGAAGGAAAGUCUUCACCCUCGGCACAUGCAGGCCCAUCCCUGCCGGUCUGGGGGGGCGAGGUGGGGGACCACCUGCCCAGCCCCAUCAAUCCCCCAGACUGCAACACCGGCCCAAACAAAGGCUUAGGGGCCGCAUCCCGGCAACCACCGGACAAACUCUAUGGACACCAUCGAGAUCACGUCCCCAUGGCAUCUGGCCCCUCAACACUACUACCCGAGGGAUACCGAGCAGGAGCACUUGGAAAAGACCCCCACAUGUGGCGCCUGGAAACUCUGCACUACGAAGGGGCAUCAGCUGAUUCCCUUAUCUCACUCAGGGACACCCAAACAAAGCUGAACUUCUAUGGGGCCCAGAUCCCUCUAAUGGGCUGUCGACACAGCAGGCUGAGGGGGAAGCAUUUGGCAACGGACGCUAGUUGUAUGUACCUGAGCACACUUGGGCGACCGGUGCCUUUGGGGGGGACCCAGGAUCCUGGAUGGUUUUAAGCUGCUUGUUAAUGCAGUUAUAUGCAAUGUAAAUGGCGUGACUUUCUUUGGUUGCAGGAACAUCUUAAGACAUGACCUUGCAUGCACUUACAUAAUGUCUCAGCUAGUCCACUUAUAGAAGAUAAACAUGUAACAUGCCUUGUAUAACCUAUAAGCGUUAAAUAAUCUAAGCCUACUAGUGGAUAUAAAUGUUUAACCUAAGACUUGCCAAGCAUGCACUACACACGUAGAAUAUUACCUAACACAGCGGUUCCCAAAGUGUGGGUCGCAGGGCGAUUCCCAAUGGGUCGCGCUGACCCACACCUCCAGGACCGCAGGGGAGUCAGGCAAGCAGACUGAUCAGGAGGGGGCCCGGCGGCCUCCCUCUAAUCAGUCUGCCCAGCAGCUCCAGUCUGCAGCUCCGCCGGGUGCAGUGCUGCAGCCCGUGUGAUAGAAGUCUCGCGAGCGCCCAGAGUAUCACCAUGGCAACACUCUGGGCGCACCAGGGAAUUUAAUGAAGGUAGGACACAGCCCCCAGACAUCCCCCUCCCCCCUCAUGUAACCCCUUCACUCCCUGCCCCCUCCCCCCAUGUAGCCCCUUCACUCCUUGCCCCUCCCUCCACUGUAACCCCUUCACUCCCUGCCC